GUUGUAUGGUUAAGUGACUAAGCGUACAUGGUGGAUGCCUUGGCAGUCAGAGGCGAUGAAGGACGUACUAACCUGCGAUAAGCCGUGAGCAGUCGGUAAGAGACAUUACGACUCACGGAUUUCCGAAUGGGGAAACCCACUUAGCAUAAGCUAGGUAUCGCUGCGUGAAUACAUAGCGUAGCGAGGCGAACCGGGAGAACUGAAACAUCUAAGUACCCCGAGGAAAAGAAAUCAACCGAGAUUCCCUCAGUAGCGGCGAGCGAACGGGGAUUAGCCCUUAAGCAUCUUGGAAGUUAGUGGAACGGUCCUGGAAAGGCCGGCGAUACAGGGUGAUAGCCCCGUACACGAAAACAACCUUGAUGUGAAAUCGAGUAGGGCGGGACACGUGACAUCCUGUCUGAAUAUGGGGGGACCAUCCUCCAAGGCUAAAUACUCCUGACUGACCGAUAGUGAACCAGUACCGUGAGGGAAAGGCGAAAAGAACCCCUGUGAGGGGAGUGAAAUAGAACCUGAAACCGUGUACGUACAAGCAGUGGGAGCCCUUCGGGGUGACUGCGUACCUUUUGUAUAAUGGGUCAGCGACUUACAUUUUGUAGCGAGGUUAACCGUAUAGGGGAGCCGUAGGGAAACCGAGUCUUAACUGGGCGUCUAGUUGCAAGGUGUAGACCCGAAACCGGGUGAUCUAGCCAUGGGCAGGUUGAAGGUUGAGUAACAUCAACUGGAGGACCGAACCCACUAACGUUGCAAAGUUAGGGGAUGACCUGUGGCUGGGGGUGAAAGGCCAAUCAAACUCGGAGAUAGCUGGUUCUCCCCGAAAGCUAUUUAGGUAGCGCCUCGGACGAAUACUACUGGGGGUAGAGCACUGUUUGGGCUAGGGGGUCAUCCCGACUUACCAACCCCAUGCAAACUCCGAAUACCAGUAAGUAAUAUCCGGGAGACACACGGCGGGUGCUAACGUCCGUCGUGAAGAGGGAAACAACCCAGACCGCCGGCUAAGGUCCCAAAGUUCUGGUUAAGUGGGAAACGAUGUGGGAAGGCUCAGACAGCUAGGAUGUUGGCUUAGAAGCAGCCAUCAUUUAAAGAAAGCGUAAUAGCUCACUAGUCGAGUCGGCCUGCGCGGAAGAUGUAACGGGGCUCAAACCAGGCACCGAAGCCGCGGAUUCACACUAAGUGUGAGUGGUAGGGGAGCGUUCUGUAAGUCUGCGAAGGUGUGUCGAGAGGCAUGCUGGAGAUAUCAGAAGUGCGAAUGCUGACGUAAGUAACGAUAAAGGGGGUGAAAAGCCUCCUCGCCGGAAGACCAAGGGUUCCUGUCCAACGUUAAUCGGGGCAGGGUGAGUCGACCCCUAAGGCGAGGCCGAAAGGCGUAGUCGAUGGGAAGCAGGUUAAUAUUCCUGCACGACUUGUAAUUGCGAUGGGGGGACGGAGAAGGCUAGGUGGGCCAGGCGACGGUUGUCCUGGUGAAAGUGCGUAGGUGGUGUUUCUAGGCAAAUCCGGAGACACAACACUGAGAUACGAGACGAACACACUACGGUGUGGAAGCCAUUGAUGCCCUGCUUCCAGGAAAAGCCUCUAAGCUUCAGAUUACAAGUCAUCGUACCCCAAACCGACACAGGUGGUCGGGUAGAGAAUACCAAGGCGCUUGAGAGAACUCGGGUGAAGGAACUAGGCAAAAUAGAACCGUAACUUCGGGAGAAGGUUCGCUCUUGACAGUGAAGUCCCUUGCGGAUGGAGCAGUUGGGAGUCGCAGUGACCAGAUGGCUGGGACUGUUUAUCAAAAACACAGCACUCUGCAAACACGAAAGUGGACGUAUAGGGUGUGACACCUGCCCGGUGCCGGAAGGUUAAUUGAUGGGGUUAGCGCAAGCGAAGCUCUUGAUCGAAGCCCCGGUAAACGGCGGCCGUAACUAUAACGGUCCUAAGGUAGCGAAAUUCCUUGUCGGGUAAGUUCCGACCUGCACGAAUGGUGUAACCAUGGCCAUGCUGUCUCCACCCGAGACUCAGUGAAAUCGAAUUCGCCGUGAAGAUGCGGUGUACCCGCGGCUAGACGGAAAGACCCCGUGAACCUUUACUACAGCUUGGCACUGAACAUUGAACCUACAUGUGUAGGAUAGGUGGGAGGCUUUGAAGGCGUGACGCCAGUUGCGCUGGAGCCGUCCUUGAAAUACCACCCUUGUAUGUUUGAUGUUCUAACGCAGGCCCGUGAAUCCGGGUCGCGGACAGUGCCUGGUGGGUAGUUUGACUGGGGCGGUCUCCUCCCAAAGAGUAACGGAGGAGCACGAAGGUUGGCUAAUCCUGGUCGGACAUCAGGAGGUUAGUGCAAUGGCAUAAGCCAGCUUAACUGCGAGACGGACAGGUCGAGCAGGUACGAAAGUAGGUCAUAGUGAUCCGGUGGUUCUGAAUGGAAGGGCCAUCGCUCAACGGAUAAAAGGUACUCCGGGGAUAACAGGCUGAUACCGCCCAAGAGUUCAUAUCGACGGCGGUGUUUGGCACCUCGAUGUCGGCUCAUCACAUCCUGGGGCUGAAGUCGGUCCCAAGGGUAUGGCUGUUCGCCAUUUAAAGUGGUACGCGAGCUGGGUUCAGAACGUCGUGAGACAGUUCGGUCCCUAUCUGCCGUGGGCGUUGGAUGAUUGAAGGGAGUUGCUCCUAGUACGAGAGGACCGGAGUGAACGAACCUCUGGUGUUCGGGUUGUCACGCCAGUGGCACUGCCCGGUAGCUAAGUUCGGAAUCGAUAACCGCUGAAAGCAUCUAAGCGGGAAGCGAGCCCUGAGAUGAGUCAUCCCUGACCCCUUGAGGGUCCUAAAGGGCCGUUGGAGACCACAACGUUGAUAGGUGGGGUGUGUAAGCGCGGCGACGUGUUGAGCUAACCCAUACUAAUUACCCGUGAGGCUUAACCAUACAACACCCAAGAAGUGUU
rnacentral:rRNA from 1 species